AAUCCAAUUUUCUGCCACCGAAUACAUUAGCAUGGGAUAAUGGAAUAGGACCCUGUCCUCCUAUUUUCAGUUGGUUUUGGCAGCGCGAGGACUAGGGUAAUGAUUAAUAGGGAUAGUUGGGGGCAUUAAUAUUUAAUUGUCAGAGGUGAAAUUCUUGGAUUUAUGAAAGAUUAACUUCUGCGAAAGCAUCUGCCAAGGAUGUUUUCAUUAAUCAAGAACGAAAGUUAGGGGAUCGAAGACGAUCAGAUACCGUCGUAGUCUUAACCAUAAACGAUGCCGACCAGCGAUUAGGAGACGUUGAAUACAAAACACCACCAUCGGCGCGGUCGUCCUUGGCGUCGGUCCUUCACGGGGCCGGCGCGAGGGCGGCUUAGCCCGGUGGCACCGGUGAAUGACUCCCUAC
rnacentral:rRNA from 1 species